rnacentral:rRNA from 1 species
AUUGAACGCUGGCGGCAGGCCUAACACAUGCAAGUCGAGCGAGCGGCGGACGGGUGAGUAAUGUAUGGGGACUGCCCGAUAGAGGGGGAUAACUACUGGAAACGGUGGCUAAUACCGCAUCCUAUCGGAUAACCCAUAUGGGAUUAGCUAGUAGGUGGGGUAAAGGCUCACCUAGGCGACGAUCUCUAGCUGGUCGGGGAGGAUGAGCAGCAAAACGGGGACUGGGACACGGCCCAGAGUACGAGGGAGGCAGCAGUGGGGAAUAUGGCAGAAUGGGCGCAAGCCUGAUGCAGCCAUGCCGCGUGUAUGAAGAAGGCCUUAGGGUUGUAAAGUACUUUCAGCGGGGAGGAGUUAGCCGCAGAAGAAGCACCGGCUAACUCCGUGCCAGCAGCCGCGGUAAUAC